GGGGGAAUAUUGGACAAUGGGCGGAAGCCUGAUCCAGCCAUGCCGCGUGUGUGAAGAAGGCCUUUUGGUUGUAAAGCACUUUAAGCGAGGAGGAGGCUACUUGGAUUAAUACUCUAGGAUAGUGGACGUUACUCGCAGAAUAAGCACCGGCUAACUCUGUGCCAGCAGCCGCGGUAAUACAGAGGGUGCGAGCGUUAAUCGGAUUUACUGGGCGUAAAGCGUGCGUAGGCGGCUUCUUAAGUCGGAUGUGAAAUCCCUGAGCUUAACUUAGGAAUUGCAUUCGAUACUGGGAAGCUAGAGUAUGGGAGAGGAUGGUAGAAUUCCAGGUGUAGCGGUGAAAUGCGUAGAGAUCUGGAGGAAUACCGAUGGCGAAGGCAGCCAUCUGGCCUAAUACUGACGCUGAGGUACGAAAGCAUGGGGAGCAAACAGG
rnacentral:rRNA from 1 species